rnacentral:rRNA from 1 species
ACGAACGCUGGCGGCGUGCUUAACACAUGCAAGUCGAGCGGUAAGGCCCUUUCGGGGGUACACGAGCGGCGAACGGGUGAGUAACACGUGGGUGACCUGCCCUCAGCUCUGGGAUAAGCCCGGGAAACUGGGUCUAAUACUGGAUAUGACUCCACGGUGCAUGCCGUGGGGUGGAAAGCCUUGUGCGGCUGAGGAUGGGCCCGCGGCCUAUCAGCUUGUUGGUGGGGUGAUGGCCUACCAAGGCGACGACGGGUAGCCGGCCUGAGAGGGCGACCGGCCACACUGGGACUGAGACACGGCCCAGACUCCUACGGGAGGCAGCAGUGGGGAAUCUUGCGCAAUGGGCGAAAGCCUGACGCAGCGACGCCGCGUGAGGGAUGACGGCCU